rfam:Tuber melanosporum whole genome shotgun sequence assembly, scaffold_30, strain Mel28
GUCCCUCUGGACAUUUGGUCAAUUUGAAACGAUACAGAGAAGAUUAGCAUGGCCCCUGCACUAAGGAUGACACGUUUCACAAAGAUGAGCUAAACAGUCUU